UACAGAGGGUGCUAGCGUUAAUCGGAUUUACUGGGCGUAAAGCGUGUGUAGGCGGUUCGUUAAGUCGGAUGUGAAAGCCCUGGGCUCAACCUAGGAAUUGCAUUCGAUACUGGCGGGCUAGAGUACGGUAGAGGGCGGCGGAAUUCCAGGUGUAGCGGUGAAAUGCGUAGAUAUCCGGAGGAACACCGAUGGCGAAGGCAACCGCCUGGGCCUGUACUGACGCUGAGACACGAAAGCGUGGGGAGCAAACAGG
rnacentral:rRNA from 1 species